CCUACGGGUGGCAGCAGUGAGGAAUAUUGGUCAAUGGGCGAAAGCCUGAACCAGCCAAGUCGCGUGAGGGAUGACGGUCCUAUGGAUUGUAAACCUCUUUUGUCGGGGAGCAAGGCCCGCCACGUGUGGCGGGAAGGAGAGUACCCGAAGAAAAAGCAUGGGCUAACUCCGUGCCAGAAGCCGCGGUAAUACGGAGGAUGCGAGGUUUAUCCGGAUUUAUUGGGUUUAAAGGGUGCGUAGGCGGUAGGUUAAGUCAGCGGUAAAGUGUCGGUGUCCAACACCGGCCUGCCGUUGAAACUGGUCUUCUUGAGUGAGCGAGAGGUAUGCGGAAUGCGUGGUGUAGCGGUGAAAUGCAUAGAUAUCACGCAGAACUCCGAUUGCGAAGGCAGCAUACCGGCGCUCAACUGACGCUGAUGCACGAAAGCGUGGGGAUCGAACAGGAUUAGAUACCCGGGUAGUC
rnacentral:rRNA from 1 species